rnacentral:sRNA from 1 species
CCUUUGCCUGGGGCUAGGCCUCCAGCUGGCACCCUGAGUCAAUAGUAAUACUUGGAAUAAUAAGUAACAAAUACCAGCCACAGGCUUGGGAGCUUUUGAAACAGCACACAGCUACCUACCAUAGGGGAGUACUAGUACAUGAGCUAAAAAUCUCAUAGACUAACCCAGAUUCCUUUAGUUAUCUCUAAAAAUAAAACCCUACCUUCACCAUCCACCCUGGUAUCCCUUCCAGGGUCCUGGGAGAGCUGGACCUAUUUUCAGCAGACAAAUAGGCCUGGCCUUCAAAACAUGAGACCAUCGGCUCCAUAGCUGGAGAAAAAGACAUGUAGCCCAGAGAGCACAUGGUCAUUUCCCACCCCUUGUAAUCUAUUCAAGGCUCAGGGACUGUUGCCGUACAGAGCUUUGAGCUCCAGCUUUCUAUCUCCAGACUGUUCCCGCCGGUUUAUUCUCUACGCUUGUGGUGAAAGAGGUUUGUCAGGAAAGCUGUAAAGGUCUUUGAACUUGUUUAAAGGGGAAGCAUUAAAAAAAGGGCAGAGAUUGAUCUGUCUUCCAAGAGCUGGCCAGGGAAGGAGCACACCCUCUGACCCUCUGCUGGAGGUGUCCAAAGAGAAGAGCAGUUGACCUUGGAGCAGUUCUGAAGGUGACCGGGAAACCGAGUUCUGCCAGGACCGCCCAGUUGAGAAAAUCGGAACAAGAUGCCUCACGCUGUUGAUGAACUCCCAACUCUUAGACCCUCGGGGGAAGGCGGGGAGAUGGGCCAGUAUCCCAGGCACUCCCAUGUUUGUUCUCAGCUGGGCUUCACCUCCAGAAUGUGGGAAGUUCCUGGCUGCUGUGCCAUCCACAGCUAUAGACUGUCCUGGGUGCUGUGAUUACAAAUUGUCUCGGUCAAGAGGCAGAAGCUUGGGAGUGGAACGGAAAGGAAACCAUGUUCUACUCUAUCUUGCAACCAACUGUGACUGAGGGUGACUCUACUCAGAUUUUUGAAACUUGUUCUUGUUGCUGUUACUUUGUAGAAUGUCCUUUACUUUUUAUUUUUUCCUGGUGUUGGAGAUCAAAUCCAGGGCCUUGCACACCACCUAUCACUCGUGUUAUACCAUCAGCCAUGGGUCUUGAGGUUUUCAUGUGUUUGUUUAAAUUGUUUGGUUUGUCAUUUCAUCCAUGCAAUGAGACUAUUUGGUUUAUGACCUAGACUGGAUAGGGUUUUUUUGAAGGAAAUAAGGGAAGUUUACCUAGGAGCAGACUCACGUGAUAACUGGGGUCUCUAACCCAACAAUGCUUCCUUUGACCAUUGACCCCCAGGGAAGACAGCAAGUUGUCACUUCAGAACCAUUCUGAUGUUUGCCUCUGGAUCCAGGCAAGGUGAAUCUCAGUCUCUCUACUGGUUUGAUGGCAAGUUGGAGCAUGUCAUACCUGGAGUUUCUUGCCUGGACUAUGUUCUCAACACAAACUUUCUCCAUAGGACAACAUUGCAUCCACUCUUUCUGCCAAACCACCUUAAAAUGUAGGAGAUUGUCACCUUUGAUGUCACCUGCUAUGCUUCAUAGCACCAAUUUUAAUUUAGGGAUGAUUAUAUCUGCUUAAUCGGCAAACACUGACUGAGUGAUUACUAACUCACAUGUCAAAGACUAUGAAAUGGUUUCUACUAUGCAGAAAGAUACAGGGAAAUAUAGAAUAUGAUUUCUCUACUA